AGGCACCAUACGGAUCAUUCACCCAAAGUUGACCAUGUGCAAAAAAGACUUGGUAAGCAUUACCCCUUAUUCCAUCCCUAGCAGAGAUAGUUGGUGGGCCCUUAUCAGGGGGAGGGGCCGAGGGUGGGGGAUCAUAUCCCCUACCAAAUAUUUUUAACAUAUCAAUCAAUGGCUGCCGUUUUACUAAAUGGUCUUAAAAGAGCCUGGGGCGAGCGCGCGGGAUACAUGUGAUAUUCUAAAACGUUAGAGACUAGGCUCCAUUUCCAAGAUGGCUGCCAGCAAAAUCGUAGUAAACACGAAUUCCUGCAAAUUUACGUGGAAAUUCUUGACUUACCAAGCUCUACAGCUCUAAAAAAAUGAAAAAAAAUGAUUGAAGCGGACUCCCAAAUAUGGCCUGCUUCGGCCCUGGUUGAAUACAGGGUCUAAUUUAUUACGAUCUGGCCAAUGUCACCUGUGAAUCCUGACUGGGUGGUUUUCAGCACCUUCAUGUCUCUCAAGCCACCGAACACCUUUGGUUCAUCUGCACAAACAAAUACAAAACAAUGAGCAUGGUGGUCAUAGUUCGGAAUAACGAGGUUCCCAUACGCGUGUCACAGGGCUCGCUCGUUUGUGCGUAAAAGAAGGUAUCUAUCAUGAUGUCCGUAGUUACGCCUGUCCGCAGUAGCAAGGUUUUAUAAUAACAUGAUGUCGGUAAAGCUCACUAGGGCUUCUAAGUAGCCUUGUCCUAUUUAAUUUAAGUAUGAAUCUUCACUUUCCCUAGUUUAAUGAGGGUUGUCCAAUACACCAACAAAAUAUCAGUGGUACAAGUGGUGGGGCCUUGUUACCCAGUGGUGUUAUGCAUAUGAUUAAGGGCACUUAGAAAAUACAAACAGGCAUUCUUCAUUGAAGCCACUGGGCCAUCCACUGGCACCAGUGGUACGAGUGGUGGAACAAUGGGUCACCACUCGUACGAAUGGUCUUUUGCAUAUGAUUAAGGGCACUUAGAAAAUACACUGGCAUCCACCAUUGGAGCCACUGGGCUAUCCACUGGCACAACUGGUACCUGUGGUACGAGUGGUAGAACAAUGGGUCACCACUCGUACAAGUGGUGGUUUGCACUUCAUGGAGGUUUUGGUAUUAUUAUUAUUAUUAUUAUUAUUAUUAUUAUUAUUAUUAUUAUUAUUAUUAUUAUUAUUAUUAUUAUUAUUAUUAUUAUUAUUAUUAUU